CAUUACACAAAAAAAGGGUCAAGAAGGAGAAACCAAAAAUUCUACAACUAUUCUGUGCUAGGGGUGUUCUUGGAGGACAUAUUGGAUUCAAUCAAUGACAUCCCCAGGCCAUGAGCUAAUAGAGGUGCAGACAUAGAGUUUCAGAUAAUCAUCAUGAGAGUCACAAAUCAAAGAGGUUCUUGAGAAGUUCUUUUGGUUGAUAAGAUGGGUCUGCUAUUUCAAUGGGUAUGGUUAAAAAAUUAGUCUGCUUCUGUGGGAGUGAGUCACUGCUGAUAUGUUUGAUUAAAAGGGAUUGCGUUAUUUGUAGAAUAAAUCUAUAAUUCACUCUGAAGUGUUUCUGAGACCCUGCCUUGAGUAGGGAUUUGAUUUAGAUACAGUUGUUUUUUCUGUUAGUUUAAUAGACUUGCUUAAUGAAACAAGAAUAUUUUGGAUUGGGUUUA